AGCAAUUGUUUGUUUGUAAACUUAUUGCUAUAACAACAAUUUUGGUAUAAAUUUGGCGAAACGGCGAAUAUCACUUUACUUUGAAUUCAACAAUGGUACUGUUGACAUCUUCAAAAUUGCUGAAGGGAAGGUCAAAGAUGUCCGUUCAUACUAGAUAAAUCAAGGUCCCAGUUCUUGUUUGGGUUUCUACGGCAACCAAUUUUAUGGCUUACUCCAUUACAACGGUUCUUACUAGGACGAAUAAAAGAUAAAACUAAAAUGGAUUAAGAAUACAAUCAUGCCCAACCUUCAGUAGAUACAAAGAUGGACAAAUUGAUGCAGCUUAAUUCAAUAAAUGGAGAUGCUGCUGUAAAAUAUGAACCACUUGUACCAGGGUCUACAACUAAUGCGGCCAACUCAAGGAAUGAAUAAAUUAAAUCGUUCAACAACCAAAAGUGGACAAUAAUCGUAUAAUUUGAGAAAAGGGAAAGAAAACAUGAGAAAAUUAAGAAUAGUUUAUCGAGACAUUUCGAUAAUUAGAAACAUGAAUGAGAACAGUCGAAAUCAAUAGUGAUAGUGAUCUUGUUAUGGCUUAGAGGUAUUAUGGCUUAUCUAUGCUGUCCCUAUCAUACAAACACAAAUUUCAAUCUGAAGACGAAUUUUAAGCAAUUGAGGCUCAAUUUUUAUAUUCUUUAAAUCGCCUAGUGAAGGUUAUAAUGAAUUAAGGAGUAUUAAAUUUUAGCAUCAGUUGCUUAAAAUUGUUCUUCGGAUUGGAAGGUUUUUUAAAAAUUUCAAAUCUUAAAACUGUGUUAAACGAUUGUUCAUCAAAUAUUAAAUUUGUCAGAAUUUUUAGCAGUCUUUAAAUUUUAGAAUUUUGCAAAGAUAUUUUAACUAGUUUUCUUAGCAACUCCUUUUUGUAUAGGAACUAGCAAGUGUAGUUCGGGUGAAGUGCGGAGCAACAUAUAAUUAACAUUUUAAUUCAAAAGCUUCUUUUGAGAAAUAAGAUGCUGAAAUCUUGGUACUGCUCACUUUAUCAGAAUUACAUUUUCUCGAUUUUUAUAGAAAAAGGGUUGCCAGGGAACUUGUUAAAAUAUCUUUGCAAAUGUGAUUUUCACACAAAUUUACUUCCAAUCAAACAUUUUAUCUUAAAAAAUCGUUUAAUUACAUUGUAAUCUUAAAAUUUUGCAAAGAUAUUUUAACUAGUUUUUUUAGCAACCUUUUUGUAUAGGAACUUGCAAAUGUAGUUCGGGUGAAUUGAGGUGUGUUAAAUUUUUGUCAAACAAAAUGCUGAAACUUUGGUACUACUUACUUCAUCGGAAUUACAUUUGCUCGAUUUUAUAGAAAAAGGGUUGUUAGGAAACUUAGUUAAAAUACCUUUGCAAAUAUGAUUAAUAUAAAUUUAGUACCAGGGAUUCGACAGUUUUUCUAAUUUUUUAUUUAUUAGUAGAUAUUUUAUCCGUAUUUUUAAAUUUUUAAACCAUUUGACAAAAAUUUACUAAUUUUAUCAAAAAAAGCCUGACUACUUAAGCCACAUUAAGAUUUAUUCAUCCUAUAUUUAACCUUGUCAAAAAUGUUUGCGAAUA